rnacentral:rRNA from 1 species
CCUACGGGUGGCAGCAGUGAGGAAUAUUGGUCAAUGGGCGCGAGCCUGAACCAGUCAAGUAGCGUGAAGGAUGACUGCCCUACGGGUUGUAAACUUCUUUUAUAAAGGAAUAAAGUGAGGCACGUGUGCCUUUUUGUAUGUACUUUAUGAAUAAGGAUCGGCUAACUCCGUGCCAGCAGCCGCGGUAAUACGGAGGAUCCGAGCGUUAUCCGGAUUUAUUGGGUUUAAAGGGUGCGUAGGCGGAAGGUUAAGUCAGCGGGAAAAUGUCGGUGCUCAACACCGGCCUGCCGUUGAAACUGGUAUUAUUGAGUGAGCGAGAAGUAUGCGGAAUGCGUGGUGUAGCGGUGAAAUGCAUAGAUAUCACGAAGAACUCCGAUUGCGAAGGCAGCAUACCGGCGCUCAACUGACGCUGAGGCACGAAAGCGUGGGGAUCGAACAGGAUUAGAUACCCUGGUAGUC